rnacentral:rRNA from 1 species
CCUACGGGAGGCUGCAGUGAGGAAUAUUGGUCAAUGGGCGUAAGCCUGAACCAGCCAAGUAGCGUGAGGGAUGAAGGUUCUAUGGAUCGUAAACCUCUUUUAUACGGGAAUAAAGUGUGGGACGUGUCCUAUUUUGUAUGUACCUUAUGAAUAAGGAUCGGCUAACUCCGUGCCAGCAGCCGCGGUAAUACGGAGGAUCCGAGCGUUAUCCGGAUUUAUUGGGUUUAAAGGGUGCGUAGGCGGCCUUUUAAGUCAGCUGUGAAAGUCUGUGGCUCAACCAUAGAAUUGCCGUUGACACUGGGGGGCUUGAGUACGUUUGAGGCAGGCGGAAUGCGUGGUGUAGCGGUGAAAUGCUUAGAUAUCACGCAGAACCCCGAUUGCGAAGGCAGCCUGCCAAGCCAUGACUGACGCUGAUGCACGAAAGCGUGGGGAUCAAACAGGAUUAGAUACCCGGGUAGUC